AUACGGAGGGUGCUAGCGUUACUCGGAAUCACUGGGCGUAAAGCGCGCGCAGGCGGCUUGAUAAGUUGGAUGUGAAAGCCUACGGCCCAACCGUAGAACUGCAUCCAAAACUGUCAGGCUAGAGUGUGGGAGAGGAAGAUGGAAUUAGUUGUGUAGGGGUAAAAUCCGUAGAGAUAACUAGGAAUACCAAAAGCGAAGGCAAUCUUCUGGAACACUACUGACGCUGAGGCGCGAAGGCGUGGGGAGCAAACAGGAUUAGAAACCCCAGUAGUCC
rnacentral:rRNA from 1 species